UAGGGAAUCUUCCGCAAUGGGCGAAAGCCUGACGGAGCAACGCCGCGUGAGUGAUGAAGGUCUUCGGAUCGUAAAACUCUGUUAUUAGGGAAGAACAAAUGUGUAAGUAACUAUGCACGUCUUGACGGUACCUAAUCAGAAAGCCACGGCUAACUACGUGCCAGCAGCCGCGGUAAUACGUAGGUGGCAAGCGUUAUCCGGAAUUAUUGGGCGUAAAGCGCGCGUAGGCGGUUUUUUAAGUCUGAUGUGAAAGCCCACGGCUCAACCGUGGAGGGUCAUUGGAAACUGGAAAACUUGAGUGCAGAAGAGAAAAGUGGAAUUCCAUGUGUAGCGGUGAAAUGCGCAGAGAUAUGGAGGAACACCAGUGGCAAAGGCGACUUUCUGGUCUGUAACUGACGCUGAUGUGCGAAAGCGUGGGGAUCAAACAGG
rnacentral:rRNA from 1 species